rnacentral:rRNA from 1 species
AACCUCCGCAAUGUGAGAAAUCGCGACGGGGGGAUCCCAAGUGCCAUUCUUAACGGGAUGGCUUUUCAUUAGUGUAAAGAGCUUUUGGAAUAAGGGCUGGGCAAGACCGGUGCCAGCCGCCGCGGUAACACCGGCAGCUCUAGUGGUAGCAGUUUUUAUUGGGCCUAAAGCGUCCGUAGCCGGUUUAAUAAGUCUCUGGUGAAAUCCUGUAGCUUAACUGUGGGAAUUGCUGGAGAUACUAUUAGACUUGAGACCGGGAGAGGUUAGAGGUACUCCCAGGGUAGAGGUGAAAUUCUGUAAUCCUGGGAGGACCGCCUGUUGCGAAGGCGUCUAACUGGAACGGUUCUGACGGUGAGGGACGAAAGUUAGGGGCGCGAACCGGAUUAGGAUACCCGGGUAGUCCUAACUGUAAACGAUGCGGACUUGGUGUUGGGGUGGCUUUGAGCUGCUCCAGUGCCGAAGGGAAGCUGUUAAGUCCGCCGCCUGGGAAGUACGGUCGCAAGACUAGAAUUUAAAGGAAUU